GUCAAGAGCCAUACCACGCUGAAAGAACAGUUCUCGUCUGAUCACUGAAGUAAAGCAACGUCGGCGUACAUUAGUACUUGGAUGGGUGAUUGUCUAGGAACACCAAGUGCUGUAGAGU
rnacentral:rRNA from 1 species